rnacentral:lncRNA from 1 species
GGCAAGACCGGGCAAAAUUGACCUAUUUGAAAUCUUUCCUCUAUUCUCGUUACACGACAAUAAGCAAAGAGGGGCAGCUGUAGAGUCCAAUUUUAGCCCGGGGCCUAAACCAACACCAAAAAUAAAACAAAAAUAGAUUAAGUGAAGCUUAAACAGUCCAAAUACAGCAGCCCAUUUACAAUAGGCCCAAAAUUGAAGCCCAAACCAAACACCUAAACCCUAGCCCAAAUUUUCAGCCCAAAGCCUAAAGCAUUUUCGGCAAACCCUAGCCCCCAACUCCCUUGUGCCACAACUUCCAACUGCCCCCGCUUCAAGCGGCCUCCACCUCCACGCCCGCACUACUCGCGCCUCCACGUCAACACGCUUGUACUACCGUGAUACCUGAUGAGAAAAUAGCAGCAAGAGGAUAUUUUAUUUUUAUUAUUUUCGGCUAUAAAAAGCCCGAACAAUGUUUAUUUUAGGGUUUUUUUUACAAAGGGAAGAUAGAUCUAAAAAGCAACAGUUGUACAAAAAUCAAUAAAGAGCACAUCACGAAAUACGAAUAGAUUGAAGGGAUUAUUAUAAGGUUUUUUCUUUCUUUUAUUUGCUUUAUUUAUUUUUCUUUUGAAUCUUAUCUAUUUACAUAUAUAUAUUGACAUAUAUUUUGAAAAAUAUAUAAAACGAGGGAGGUACCUUUCUUCGCCUGGAGAAAGGAGCUUCGGCUGCCAUGCAUGUCGAUCACUGAUGACGAAGCCUGCGGUGGCUAUCUGCUGGAGUUUGGGUGAAAAUCGCAGGAUAAGAAGGGAGGUUGAGAGCCUUCUCUCUGUUUUUU